UAGGUACAAUCAUGAACGCUAGAGGGCGCUGCGGGUGAACGGCGCUUUUUUUUAAUGGACCGUAUUGCCGCCGAUAAGCUGCUAUCGUCGAGACUGCCGAGUGUAUUGACAAAUGUAAGGGGUGGAUGAAUCUACCCUUAUUUUUAAAGUGAUUUGUCCAAUAGGUAUGAUGUGUAUGAAAAUUUCAUCAUGGAUACUUACGUCAUCGUCUACGAACAAUGGGAGAGCCUCAGCGAAGAGUUUUGACUGUCAAAUUCGUCUGGAAUAUCACUGAUAAAGCUUGAGCACCGAUCCUACCAAUGGCAUCAUACCAAACUAUUAGAACAGCUGAUGAUGUUUCGUGUACAGUUUCCCUGCUACUUGGUAGUACUUGCUUUUACCAUCCUUGUCAAUAUCCAUCCUGGUGCUGGCCUAUGACCUGGUCUACAUUACACUCUACACAGUGCAAGCUCAAGUGCAGUCUAAUUGCUGCAAAGUUGUUUUAAAAUUCCAAGAAAGAAAUAAAGUUGAUUUACUCUCAAGAUAAUUGGUGAUGGAGAUGAAAGAGGAAGAUAAUGAGAUCAUGUUUGAUGCACUUGAUGCAUAUUUUUAUGAUGCCUGUAUGUGUGAGGGUGGAGUGAAAUGGGAUGAGAGGUCAGACAUUUUUUUUACUCCUUGUCAUUGCCUUUAAAAAGAAAAUACAGUUUGUUUUACGUGACAUUCUCAUGGGAAUUUUACAACUUGUUUUAUUAUCAUUAUUGAUAUUUUUUUUUAAGAAUAUUGACCAAGAGGAGGACUGAAAAGGCUAAUUUACAAUCUCAUUACAAAGUAAAAUAGUGUUGGAUAACAGAAGGAAAAAUGGUGGAAUAAGAGAGAUUGCAGAAGAGCUGAAAUGUACCCAAUGUAGAAUGAGAAAGUAGAGAUUGAGGGGGGGGGGGGGGUAUUAAAAAAACCAAAACAGUAUAAAUCCCAAAGUAAAUAUUCUAUACAAUUCAUGCAUUGGUAUAUUUCAUACAAAGGUAGAGAAAGGAAAAUAGGAGAAUUUUGCAAGUCAAUUUGAUAUAGAUCGAUGCAUGGAGGUU